UUUAAACCUUUUUUAAACCUGUUGAUGAAGUUAGGUGCUGUUCUGAGCAUUAUUUGUGGCUAUAGAGUGGCGUUUUGGUUGGGGGCGUGGCUCUCUGUAUUUCUAUCCUGCGGUCGUUACUAAAGUUGGUAUAACUAGAGAAGCAAGCGGUCGACAACAUUCAUCUCUGGAGGGGGGGUCUAACUCGGUGUUACGGUGGGUUUGACCCUAAAUUAAUUUUACUCCGGAAUAUCCCUUUAACUCUGGAUUUUGAGGAUGCAGUUGGAGUUUGUGGUUUCUGUUGGUGUUUUUUU